GUCACAUUGAUGGCAUAGCGAAGGUUGGGAACACAGAAGAAGAAUAAACCUUCGCGUUAAGAUGCUAAUGGAAGCUCAACAUGAGUGUCUCAUUCCUUCUAUAAUUCAGCACCACACGUUGAGAGAAGAAAUUAUCCAAAAUUACCCUCAGUCCAUCCAAGGGAGUUGAGCGAACACACAAGCAGGAUCACAAAUUAUUAAACAACAGCCUGAACAUCUCAACACUUCGAUAAAUGAGGAGUGCUGUGCAACAGAUCAACAAAGAGGAGGAUUACAUAACCUGAACAGGGAUUAAAGACAUGGGCCCAGCAUGGUUGCGAUGAGGUGGAACCAUUGACGUGCAGUCAUGUGGUUGAGGGACAUUAGUUUUCGCAACCAGCCUUCAAGAUCCAUAAGACAUACCAAGCAAAGCUCCUCUGAAAUCCUUCCCACUGCAAUGUCCGUCAUGGUGUUUUGUCAUGGGUCUGGUUUACAACAGUACAGUAAACACAGUGCUCAUGGCAGAAAAGAUUGACUAUUAUCAGUUCACACGUUCAGAGGAGGAAUAAAUAAUGGUUGACAAGAUGCAGCAAAAUUUUUUGCCAAAAAAUGAACAAAAGGCAUCAGUGAGAUGUUCACCCACUGCAUCAGACCGGAACCGAGCAGGGGAGGUUCAGUGUUUUGGUCCAACAGUACGUAUUUCUUCACGGCCUUGGACAAUUGUUCCUUAAAACUGUCCAUCCUGCUCUCUGGUAGAAAAACCAGCUCCUGGAAGUUGAGUAGUUGGGGCUGUUUUGUGUAUAAACAAACACACCCACAAAAUUCUGACCAAUCACACAUGAAUUUUGGAUGUAGGGUGAGUCUAAAAGAACCUCUAGGGAGUUGUGAAAAGAAGAGGUGACCGACAUAAGGCUGAGAACAAAAUAACAAGAUUUUGGUCACAAAACUGUGACAAUGAAAUCCAAUUUCGGUGUGUCAGCUUGACCCUGCUGGGCCCUGUCUUCCUCCUCCCUCUAAGUGUUUCUGAUACUUUGAGUUCCUGCUGUCCUAUUCACACACCUGUAACCUAUUUACUCAUCAAGCUACUGUAUAAAAUGACCAGCAGGAUUCACAAACGUUGACAUUUUAUAUAUCUUAUAUAUAUUUUGAGACUGAAAAUCCAAUAUAGUAAUUUUCUGCAAUGUUUUCACAACUGAUUUCAGAGUCAAAGUAAACCACCUGACAAAAACACUGCAUGUUUUUUUUUUCUUACUCUGUUUGAUGUUUGUCCAACUACUGUGGAGGGACCUAG